rnacentral:piRNA from 1 species
CGAGCAGAGAACUGCAUUAUGCAA